rnacentral:tRNA from 1 species
CGGGGCGUAGCGCAGCCAGGUAGCGCACUUGAAUGGGGUUCAAGUGGUCGGACGUUCAAAUCGUCUCGCCCCGACUA